rnacentral:rRNA from 1 species
GACGAACGCUGGCGGCGUGCUUAACACAUGCAAGUCGAACGGAAAGGCCCUGCUUGCAGGGUACUCGAGUGGCGAACGGGUGAGUAACACGUGGGUGAUCUGCCCUGCACUUCGGGAUAAGCCUGGGAAACUGGGUCUAAUACCGGAUAGGAGCCAUUUUUAGUGUGAUGGUUGGAAAGUUUUUUCGGUGUAGGAUGAGCUCGCGGCCUAUCAGCUUGUUGGUGGGGUAAUGGCCUACCAAGGCGGCGACGGGUAGCCGGCCUGAGAGGGUGGACGGCCACAAUGGGACUGGGAUACGGCCCAGACUCCGACGGGAGGCAGCAGGGGGGAAUAUUGCACAAUGGGCGGAAGCCUGAUGCAGCGACGCCGCGGGGGGGAUGACGGCCUUCGGGUUGGAAACUCCUUUCGCUAGGGACGAAGCUUUUUGUGACGGUACCUAGAUAAGAAGCACCGGCUAACUACGUG